rnacentral:lncRNA from 1 species
GUCUCCUCCAACUCUGCGAUAUCAUGAUGAUGAGAUUCUGAUUCUUAAAAAUGUGUCAGGCUCAGCCUUCUGCCUUCAGCAGACCUGCGCUCCUGGAGGAAGCUCAAUUCCUGAGCUUGCCAAGCCUUUCUGCAUUCCAGGCUUUUGGCACUCGCUGUUUCCUCUUCCUGGAUGGCUCUUCCUUCUUGCUCUUUGCAAAGCUGGCUCGUUCUCUUCCUCCAGCAUUUCUCUUAACUGGGGCCAUGCAGAGGAUGAGACAGGCAAGACCCCUGCUCUCAUGGAUCAUAGAUUCCAGAGGGGGAGUUGGACAAGCAAGAAGUGCAUGCACCAGAAUCAUCUGGGUGGAAUUGCAUUCCAUUGAUAAAGCUGUGAUGAAGUGUUAUUCGUUGGAUGAACAAAGUUAGAAGUCAAGAGAAAUUGCUUGGACUCACAUGACAAUUUUUCAGCCAUCAGUCAUUUCUUGGCAUUUGAUCACAUCAUUGUCUCUGUUCCCCUCAUAUUGACUUCGUUGUCUGUUAUUAAUUGAAGCAUGACUUUUCUUUCAGAACUACAACGAACAGUACUCUUUGGAAAAUGGAAGAAAUUUCACUUUUACUUUUCCUAGCUCCUUGACUGUCUGGUUCUCUCCAGAGUAAAUCAGCUUCCUUAUUGGUAUACUUCAAAUAUCACAAACUGAUAUGUCCUUCUUUUGAAGACAUACGCUCUGAAAGGAAAGUUCGCAUGACUUGACUUUGUUCAGGAUGCCUUCAAAUGACCUCAGGAAGAUACAAACUUUGUAACAAAACACCUUGCUAUGAAGUGAGGCACUGAGAAACAAAGAACUGAUAGCAUAUCAGAGUCUAGAUGCAUCCCACAAGCAUAAUGUUGAGUGAAAGAAGCAUCCUGUAUGAGCCCAUUGACGUAAAGUUCAAAAUCAGACUGACGAUAGAAGUCAAGGGAAUGCUUACCCUUGGGGGCAGUGACUAGCUGGUGGCAGCUGGGAUACUUCUGAUGGUAAAGUCCUGUUUUUUUAGCUGGAUGGUGGUUAUAGAGAUAUAUUCACUUUUUAAAAAAAUCCCAUCAUACUACACACUUAUGGAAU